AGGACGAACGCUGGCGGCGUGCCUAACACAUGCAAGUCGAACGCGCUCCAUUCGGUAGCAAUACUGAUGAAGAGCGAGUGGCGAACGGGUGAGUAGCACGUGAGCAACCUGCCCCGAAGACUGGGACAACACCGGGAAACCGGUGCUAAUACCGGAUAUCCCUAUCGGAUCGCAUGAUCUGAUAAGGAAAUGUUUUUCGCUUCGGGAGGGGCUCGCGGCCUAUCAGCUAGUUGGUGGGGUAACGGCCUACCAAGGCAUCGACGGGUAGCUGGUCUGAGAGGACGAUCAGCCACACUGGGACUGAGACACGGCCCAGACUCCUACGGGAGGCAGCAGUGGGGAAUCUUGCGCAAUGGGCGAAAGCCUGACGCAGCAACGCCGCGUGGAGGACGAAGGCUUUCUGAGUUGUAAACUCCUUUCAGCAGGGACGAUUGUGACGGUACCUGCAGAAGAAGCACCGGCCAACUACGCGCCAGCAGCCGCGGUAA
rnacentral:rRNA from 1 species